UCCCACAGCAAAUCGCAAAGUGUUAAAAUCCCAGAGUAUUCAUGACCAGAGUAGAUUUUAUACACUUUGGUGUUGAAUAGGCACUAAGUACAUUUUUUGGGGUGUACCAGAAACACUCUCGGGUGUUGUCUCUAAGUAUAAUGCUGGUGUAGAGUAAUUUAAGUGUUUAUUUUAGGAUGAUGGACUCCCUGAGUGUACAACGGUUGAGUGUCCAACUAUCCCGGCGGCACGUCGGUUUAGGUUUCGAUUCGUCAUUGGCUCGCUGCGCCUUCUCAUUGGUUGAAUCUAGAGACAUGUGACCGUUUGUCCUCUUCCACACUACGCAGCAAACUGUUUCGGCAGAGACGGUUGACUAGAGAGGAUCGAAUCAAUAUCGCCAAGGAAUUGCUCCGAGUGAGCGAAGACAUUUUUGAACUUCAUGGGAAUGUAAACAGGUUGGGAUAGUGACAUGGCCUCACUUCUCCUGCUGGUCUACCUCCUGCCACCACCUCCAAGUGGAAAGAAGGGAGCUGUCAAAAUCAGUAUCCGGGAAGCUGUGGAUCGUGUAGUGAAGUUUCACAGGGUAAUUGUAUCCUGAUAAUUUUUAUUUUAUUUUUAAAGGUCCCAUGGCAUGCCGCCAGAGCUUGUGUGUUGCUGAUGGAUGUCACAAUCUCUGUGUUGGCCAAUCUACUUAUCGAGUCUUGAAAACAAAAUGGCGUCGACGGGUGAUCUACUGAUGGUAUUGUGUGUAUAAAAUGUACUUUUUAAUAAACAAUCUGUACACUUACAAAGUUCUCAAUGCCUCGUUUUAUAUGUUAAUACCCUUAUUGAACUACCAAAGAAGUGUCGGGCUACUUCUAGCCUUUUAAAUGGUUUAAAAUAGCGAUUUAGUUUUUACCAUAACCACUGCCCCAUUGUUCCAAGUUUAUAGCGUUUUGAUAGAAUCGGCUAAAAACAGCCAACUGAAGAAAGCGUCUAUAUGUGUUUUUUUGUGUUCCAAAACGAACGUUUCAACUCAUUAUCAUACAAAACAUAUCCCAAAUCCGUUUUACACCGGAAUUCCCCUUUAAUUGGUUGACGGGGACACAUUUAUUUAUUUAUUUUCAAGUUGUUUGUUACAUCAUAUAAAUGUAAAACUAAAUAUGGUUCUUGAUGUAAAAUAAUUAAAGUUUAACUAUAAUGUUAACUAUAUUAUAUAUGUAUGCACUGUAACAACAACAGCAGCAAUAAUCUAAUGUGUAGACUAUUCAUUCAUGAAGUGUUGAUAAUUCACCUCAAAGGUGUUGGUUGUACACCAGUCAGAGUACAUUCUCACUCUAGAAGUAUUAAAUAAUCAGCUCUGCGAAGUGCUACAAAGCACUGACUUGGAGUACAUAUUUUCUCUCUCUGGGGUUCUAGGUUUACACUGCAGGUGUAAGGAAGCACUGAAUGAGU